rnacentral:rRNA from 1 species
UACGUAGGGUGCGAGCGUUGUCCGGAAUUACUGGGCGUAAAGAGCUCGUAGGUGGUUUGUCGCGUUGUUCGUGAAAACUCACAGCUCAACUGUGGGCGUGCGGGCGAUACGGGCAGACUGGAGUACUGCAGGGGAGACUGGAAUUCCUGGUGUAGCGGUGAAAUGCGCAGAUAUCAGGAGGAACACCGGUGGCGAAGGCGCUGCUCUGGGCCGGUACUGACGCUGAGGAGCGAAAGCGUGGGUAGCAAACAGG